rnacentral:rRNA from 1 species
AGCCUACCCUAGCCCGACCACACCACAACAAAAGCCCUUAAAAAUCUACGCUAAUAACAGACUAAAACAUUCUUCAAACUUAGUAUAGGCGAUAGAAAAGACACUCGGCGCGAUAGCAAUUAGUACCGUAAGGGAAAGAUGAAAUAAUAAUGAAAACCCAAGCAGUAAACAGCAAAGAUAAGCCCUUGUACCUUUUGCAUCAUGAUCUAGCAAGAACAACCAAGCAAAAUGAACUUAAGCUUGCCCCCCCGAAACCCAAGCGAGCUACUUGCAAGCAGCUACUUAUGAGCGAACCCGUCUCUGUUGCAAAAGAGUGGGACGACUUGCUAGUAGAGGUGAAAAGCCAACCGAGCUGGGUGAUAGCUGGUUGCCUGUGAGACGAAUAUAAGUUCCCUCUUGAUCACCCUCCCCGGAUGCCAACCCAACCUCCAUGUGACAAGUCAAGAGCAAUUUAAAGGAGGUACAGCUCCUUUAAAAAAGAACACAAUCUCCCCUAGAGGAUAACUACCAACUCCCUUAACUCAAAACUGUAGGCCUUCAAGCAGCCACCAACAAAGAGUGCGUCAAAGCUCCGUACACAAAAAAUAUGAACACAACAUGAAUCCCUUCCCCCUAACAGGCCAACCUAUAUCCAAUAGGAGAAUCAAUGCUAGAAUGAGUAACUGGGGGGUUUCCUCCCCUCUCAAGCGCGAGCUUACAUCCAUAUAUUAUUAACAGACAGCUAAUAUCUAAACUACUACAAGAUUAAGAUAUUGUACUCCUCUGUUACCCCAACCCAGGAGCGCCCAACUAGAACGAUUAAAAUCUGUAAAAGGAACUAGGCAAACCCAGGGCCCGACUGUUUACCAAAAACAUAGCCUUCAGCUAUCCAAGUAUUGAAGGUGAUGCCUGCCCAGUGACAUAACGUUUAACGGCCGCGGUAUCCUAACCGUGCGAAGGUAGCGCAAUCAAUUGUCCCAUAAAUCGAGACUUGUAUGAAUGGCUAAACGAGGUCCUAACUGUCUCUUACAGAUAAUCAGUGAAAUUGAUCUUCCUGUGCAAAAGCAGGAAUAAACCCAUAAGACGAGAAGACCCUGUGGAACUUCAAAAUCAGCGGCCACCACCCACCAAACCCAAACCUACCAGGCUCAUCACUGACAAACGCUGGCCCGCAUUUUUUGGUUGGGGCGACCUUGGAGAAAAAAAGAGCCUCCAAAAACAAGACCACACCUCUUAACCAAGAGCAACACCUCAACGUACUAACAGUACCCAGAUCCAAUACAAUUGAUCAAUGAACUAAGCUACCCCAGGGAUAACAGCGCAAUCUCCUCCAAGAGCCCCCAUCGACGAGGAGGUUUACGACCUCGAUGUUGGAUCAGGACAUCCUAAUGGUGCAGCCGCUAUUAAGGGUUCGUUUGUUCAACGAUUAACAGUCCUACGUGAUCUGAGUUCAGACCGGAGCAAUCCAGGUCGGUUUCUAUCUAUGACAAACUUUUCCUAGUACGAAAGGACCGGAAAAGUGGGGCCAAUACCACAAGCACGCCCCCCCCCAAGUAAUGAACCCAACUGAAUUACUAAAAGGCCAUCUCACUCAAAUCCUAGAAAAGGAUC